GAUGGAUCUUAUAUUUAGUAAUCUGUUCAACUUUGUCAUUACGGCCUAGUAGACAGUGAGAAGAAAAUGAAUAUUGGGAUUUUCACCAAAACAGUCUUUUUGGUUUUCAGAAAAUGGUCAUGUGACUUUUUUUUGUCCAUGCAGAUAUACGGUUCUGCAUACAAAAACUGUGUAGAUUCAGAGAGAAUUCCCUCUAGGAAUAACCUGAAACUGAAAGACUGGAAAGUGAAGAUUUUCUGAGCAGCUUGUGAAACAAAGCUUUGCUCUUGCCGUGUUCUGCAGGACCACAUGUACAAGACUGCAGGCCACAGUUCUUUAUUCCAACCUCCAUUCAUCAGCUCUGCCAAUAAGCAGGCAGGAGUCCUGGACAACAGAGAGAGGAACCUUUACCAUCAUACAGUGCGCUGAUGCCAGAAGUGUGCCUGUCAGUGGUCAUGCCUGGUAGUGGCUACAGGGAGUUGCUCUUUGGAAGGCUGAGUAUAUCAAAACCAAAUAACACUGCUGGAAAAAUCCCUGCUGCUUCGAUUCAAAGCCAAUUACACCUUCUCAGAAGACACUGAUUGUCACGCUUUUCCCAGCAAUACCAGUUGUGAGGGCUUGGAGGUUAUGAAUUAUAACUGAUAUAAUCAAUAAAAGCUAAACCACAUUUUUAUAAAACUCACUGGUUGACAUAUAUGUGGAACAAGAGACAAGAAAUGUAAAUUUUAAUGCCUAAGAGCAAAUCCCAUAGGAACAGUCAUAUCCCCACAAGAAUGGUCAUAUAAUAUGCUAAAUAUUACUGUUUGGAUCUUUUGCAGAAAACAACCUGUGGAUCUAUACAAGAAAGGGAAUACAUUAAAAACCAGGAUCAGGACAAGUGUGUGUUACUGCCAGGUGACAUCCAGACAGGAGGGCUCAAAGUGUUCUGCAAUCCCUUAUGUCAACACCACAGUGAAACCAAUGGACAACCAUGCUGAAUACUCAGGUGCUUUGUAUCCUUUACAUUCUUCAGCAUAGAAUGAAAAUUGUCUGACAGAUGAGUCAGUUUCUUUUCAUUAAGAAAUUCAUCAAGGCAUUUAAAAAUGAGGACAAAGUGAGUGAGGAGCUCUGGGAGUUUAUAGGAUUUCUGGAUAAACUGAACUGUCAAACUGUCAGAAUUCAGUCAGAUGAACCUAGUUCAUAAAUAGCAUAAUCCUAAUAAAU
rnacentral:lncRNA from 14 species